rnacentral:sRNA from 1 species
UGAAAUUGUUAUAUGUAUUUUAUUAAUAAGAAGUACAUGUUACUUUUAUUUUAAGAAUUACAUGGAUUAUUUAUCCCGACUAUAUGAAAGAGAAAUCAAAGAUUUCUUUGAAGUUGCAAAGAUCAAGAUGACUGGCACAACUAAAGAAAGCAAGAAGUUUGGUCUUCAUGGAAGUUCGGGGAAAUUAACUGGAUCUACUUCUAGUCUAAAUAAGCUCAGUGUUCAGAGUUCAGGGAAUCGCAGAUCUCAGUCAUCUUCCCUGUUGGAUAUGGGAAACAUGUCUGCCUCUGAUCUCGAUGUUGCCGACAGGACCAAAUUUGAUAAGAUCUUUGAACAGGUACUAAGUGAACUGGAGCCCCUAUGUCUGGCAGAACAGGACUUCAUAAGUAAAUUUUUCAAACUACAGCAACAUCAAAGUAUGCCUGGAACUAUGGCUGAAGCAGAGGACCUGGAUGGAGGAACAUUAUCACGGCAACAUAAUUGUGGCACACCACUGCCUGUUUCAUCUGAGAAAGAUAUGAUCCGCCAAAUGAUGAUUAAAAUAUUUCGCUGCAUUGAGCCAGAGCUGAACAACCUAAUUGCAUUA